UGUCUCAUUAAAAGACAUUGUAGCCUUAACUGUGAUGAUGCUUAAGUUUCAUCCUGUAAACUCAAAUGACUGGUAUAAAAUCAACAGAAUCUAAAAUCAAAUAAAAUCAAAUAUACUGUCUACUUGUCCCUAAUAGCUACUGCAAUAAGUAACGAAUUAUUAAAGCAAUAACAAAAAAUGUACAGAAGAUGGCAGCGUUCACUCAGAUUACAGAAGAUUUGAAUCUUCAGUUGGUGUAACAGUUCAAAAAAGGAAAUGUGCACAAAAUCAGUCAGAGUCUGUGAGUUAGAGUUUGAGCUGCUCGUGAUGAUCCAUGAUGUUUCUAUGCAGUGUCUGGCUCAUUCUUCUCUUUUCAGGUGAUGCGGGUGGAGAAGGAAUAGCUCCUCUCUCCUCAUCUGAACUUGCUAACAAUGGUGACUCCAUUACUUUGACCUGUAAUUACAAUGGGUCUUACAACAGUGAUUAUCUCCUGUGGUAUCGUCAAUACAGCAGCUCCAAACCUCAGUUUUUGUUUCUGGUUAGUGAAUCCAACAUUGAGCAGCCAGCUGACCCUCCAAUUCCUGGAGUGUCUGCCAAAGUGAAUGAGCAGAAAAACAGUGUGGAUCUGAAGAUCUCCUCUUCUUCAGUAUCAGACUCUGCAAUGUACUACUGUGCCCUGAAGCCCACAGUGACAGGAAGCACAUCAACACUGUACAAAAUGAAGGGGAAAACAACUAAAUGA